AGAUUAAGUUAUUAAGGGCGCACGGUGGAUGCCUUGGCACUAGAAGCCGAUGAAGGACGUUACUAACGACGAUAUGCUUUGGGGAGCUGUAAGUAAGCGUUGAUCCAGAGAUUUCCGAAUGGGGAAACCCAGCAUGAGUUAUGUCAUGUUAUCGAUAUGUGAAUACAUAGCAUAUCAGAAGGCAGACCCGGAGAACUGAAACAUCUUAGUACCCGGAGGAAGAGAAAGAAAAAUCGAUUCCCUGAGUAGCGGCGAGCGAAACGGGAAGAGCCCAAACCAACAAGCUUGCUUGUUGGGGUUGUAGGACACUCUAUACGGAGUUACAAAAGUAUAUAUUAGACGAAUCAUCUGGAAAGUUGAAUCAAAGAAGGUAAUAAUCCUGUAGUCGAAAAUAUAUACUCUCUUGAGUGGAUCCUGAGUACGACGGAGCACGUGAAAUUCCGUCGGAAUCUGGGAGGACCAUCUCCUAAGGCUAAAUACUCUCUAGUGACCGAUAGUGAACCAGUACCGUGAGGGAAAGGUGAAAAGUACCCCGGAAGGGGAGUGAAAGAGAACUUGAAACCGUGUGCUUACAAGUAGUCAGAGCCCGUUAAUGGGUGAUGGCGUGCCUUUUGUAGAAUGAACCGGCGAGUUACGAUUUGAUGCAAGGUUAAGCAGCUAAUGUGGAGCCGUAGCGAAAGCGAGUCUGAAUAGGGCGUUUAGUAUUUGGUCGUAGACCCGAAACCAGGUGAUCUACCCUUGGUCAGGUUGAAGUUCAGGUAACACUGAAUGGAGGACCGAACCGACUUACGUUGAAAAGUGAGCGGAUGAACUGAGGGUAGCGGAGAAAUUCCAAUCGAACUUGGAGAUAGCUGGUUCUCUCCGAAAUAGCUUUAGGGCUAGCCUCAAGUGAUGAUUAUUGGAGGUAGAGCACUGUUUGGACGAGGGGCCCUUCUCGGGUUACCGAAUUCAGACAAACUCCGAAUGCCAAUCAAUUUAACUUGGGAGUCAGAACAUGGGUGAUAAGGUCCGUGUUCGAAAGGGAAACAGCCCAGACCACCAGCUAAGGUCCCAAAAUAUAUGUUAAGUGGAAAAGGAUGUGGCGUUGCCCAGACAACUAGGAUGUUGGCUUAGAAGCAGCCAUCAUUUAAAGAGUGCGUAAUAGCUCACUAGUCGAGUGACACUGCGCCGAAAAUGUACCGGGGCUAAACAUAUUACCGAAGCUGUGGAUUGUCCGUAGGACAAUGGUAGGAGAGCGUUCUAAGGGCGUCGAAGCAUGAUCGCAAGGACAUGUGGAGCGCUUAGAAGUGAGAAUGCCGGUGUGAGUAGCGAAAGACGGGUGAGAAUCCCGUCCACCGAUUGACUAAGGUU
rnacentral:rRNA from 1 species